rnacentral:rRNA from 1 species
UACGGAGGAUCCAAGCGUUAUCCGGAUUCAUUGGGUUUAAAGGGUGCGUAGGUGGAAUAAUAAGUCAGAGGUGAAAGCCUUCAGCUCAACUGAAGAACUGCCUUUGAUACUGUUAUUCUUGAGUAUAGUUGAAGUGGGCGGAAUGUAUCAUGUAGCGGUGAAAUGCUUAGAGAUGAUACAGAACACCGAUAGCGUAGGCAGCUCACUAAGCUAAAACUGACGCUGAGGCACGACAGCGUGGGGAU